ACGGAGAAAGAGAGGUUCGCCUUUCUUUCUUAGUGGCGCACGGGUGAGUAAUGUAUAGCUAACCUGCCCCUUGGUGGGGGACAACAGAUGGAAACGUCUGCUAAUACCCCAUACUCCUUCUUACUCUAAGGUAAGUCGGGAAAACUCCGGUGCCAAGGGAUGGGGCUGUAUCCUAUCAGCUUGUUGGUGAGGUAAUGGCUCACCAAGGCAAUGACGGGUAGCUGGUCUGAGAGGAUGAUCAGCCACACUGGAACUGAGACACGGUCCAGACUCCUACGGGAGGCAGCAGUGGGGAAUAUUGCACAAUGGGGGAAACCCUGAUGCAGCAACGCCGCGUGGAGGAUGACGCAUUUCGGUGUGUAAACUCCUUUUAUAGGGGAAGAUAAUGACGGUACCCUAUGAAUAAGCACCGGCUAACUCCGUGCCAG
rnacentral:rRNA from 1 species